UUAGUUUAGGACUUUUUGUUACUUUCUCGACCUUUCCCGCUCAUCCUCAGCAAACCCUAACUUCUCGAUCUAUGUUUUUUGCUUCCCAUUUUUCUUCUCGAGUCUUCUACUUCCAUUUCAAAGCAUCGAUAUACUGACAAACUCCAAAUAGGUUCAAAUUUUCUGAAAAGAAAUAGAAGUGAGAGAAUGGACGCCAUAGAUUCAGUGUUCAAUCCGCUCAGAGAGUUCGCCAAAGAUAGCUUUUGCCUUGCGAAGAGGUGUCACAAGCCCGAUCUCGAAGGUAUAAGAGUAACUUUCGAUUUUUAUUUCUUCCGAUUGAACGGUUAGUGGUUGCUUCUAGUGUGCUGAUUUGAGUGUGGAUUUUGAGCCUCACGGUGCGUUUUUGUAUUUCGAUGGUGAGAGUUCGCCAAUGACAGCGUUCGCCUUGCGAAGAAGAGGUGCCGCAAGGGUAUUAGAGUAACUUUUCGAUUUUGAUUUCUUCCGAUUGAACGAAUUCAUAAAGUUGGCGUCCCGUAUUGCGAUAGGGUUCGUGGUAUGGGAUUCUUCGUGAAGCUGAUCUUCAUCCUGAUCAACGACAUUAUUGUUGGAUCUCGCUAGAUGAAAUCUUCAAAAUAUGCGAUGUGAGAGGCAGCACAACCAUUGGAGACAUGCUCUGAUGUGAUGUACUAAUCUUCAAGGGCUGUUAAAUGCCAGUUUCCACUGGUGAACAAGGGUAGGCCUAGAGCAAGCAAAUAUGAGAGGAGAUACCAUGGUGCUUUAUAAAGUUCAAAACUCACCCUCACCGGUAUUUUUCGUUCUCCAAAGUUACCUGCCUCUUUCAGCGCAGGUGGUUCUGUCGUAGGUUCUGAAAUUUCUGCACUAUUAUUUACAUGGUUGCAAGUAUUGAUGUGUUCAAAACAUGAUUUCAUCAUGGUUUUAAAUUCCUGCAUUGUGCAAGAAUAAUGCUUCACUAUUUUCCAGUAAUGUGUGUGUAGAAGAACCUUUAUUUUGGAACUCGACUUUUGGGGUUAUAUGCCGAAGUGAUAUAUACACACCUAUUGCGAUUGUAAA